GGGCGGCGGUGCCUAAUACAUGGCAAGUCGAACGAACUUCCGUUAAUUGAUCAGGACGUGCUUGCACUGAAUGAGAUUUUAACACGAAGUGAGUGGCGGACGGGUGAGUAACACGUGGGUAACCUGCCCAGAAGCAGGGGAUAACACCUGGAAACAGAUGCUAAUACCGUAUAACAGAGAAAACCGCCUGGUUUUCUUUUAAAAGAUGCUCUCUGCUAUCACUUCUGGAUGGACCCGCGGCGCAUUAGCUAGUUGGUGAGGUAACGGCUCACCAAGGCGAUGAUGCGUAGCCGACCUGAGAGGGUAAUCGGCCACAUUGGGACUGAGACACGGCCCAGACUCCUACGGGAGGCAGCAGUAGGGAAUCUUCCACAAUGGACGCAAGUCUGAUGGAGCAACGCCGCGUGAGUGAAGAAGGGUUUCGGCUCGUAAAGCUCUGUUGUUAAAGAAGAACGUGGGUGAGAGUAACUGUUCACCCAGUGACGGUAUUUAACCAGAAAGCCACGGCUAACUACGUGCCAGCAGCCGCGGUAAUA
rnacentral:rRNA from 1 species